AAUCAGUCAGUGCCAAUUUCCCUGAACCAAAGUUUUGGAAAGAGGUCCAUAAAGGCUUUUUACUUCUAAAAUAGCUUGUCAAAGAACAGACUUUGCUGGGGGAAUCAGUGAUAUGUCCAAGCUUAAGAUGAUGCAAAUGUAAUCAUCUGAAUUGAAUCAGAGAGUCAUCACCAAAGGAAAUUGGCCCUUUUAAUGGUCAGGAUCAUAUUUCUAAUAAUAUCAGUUAUGUUUUACCCAUUUUCCGUGGAAAUAGCACACAAUAACAGAUAGUCUAUCGGAGGUUGUCCUGCAAUGACCUUGAUGGCAGGGGAGUUUUUAAAGGCUGAGAGUAAUUGUCCAAAGCAGCACAACAGAUUUGGAGGAGACCUGGUGAAUGAACCCAAGUCUUAAGGAUGCUAGAACACUCAAAUCAAUUCUCUCUGCUGCAAGCAAACGUAACGGGAUUGCUGCAGGGAUUCGACUAUGAUUUUCCAGAGUCUUAGCAUCCUGGCUGCUACAAGCAAAGUGAGGACAAACAUGCAACUGACACAGCAGGGGAGUAAGUUUUAUCUGAUCAAUGUAAGGAAUGCACGAAGAUUCACUGAUGCCAUAGGGAGAUCAACUUACAUCACAAAAGCAGUUAGACAUUGCUACAUCUGUUAUUCUGCCAGGAAUUCCCCCAAGUACAACUUUUGCUAGACGGUCUUUCCUGAAACCAUCUGAAAUCGUGAGUCAGUAUGUGCCAGCUGUAUUUAAGACCAAAGGCUUAAUGUAUCCACAUCUGGGGUAGGAGUCAGAUGUAAAACAAGCCCAACAUUGCCUUGGAAGUUCUAUAGGUUGCCAUGGAGACCAGGUGAUGCACACAUGCAAAUUCAGUGGCCGUGCAGAAGUUUCAAGGUCAGGGCGAGGGAAAAGACAGACAGUAAAUGAGACUGCAGAGGCAACACUAACAAGCAAGGUUCUGCAGGGGCUGAACAUCACAUUCAUCAAACUUUGGAGUUUGCGCUCAGAGAUCCCCGUCCUGGAGCAGGGGAAUUCCUGAUCUAUCAACUUCUGUGUCAAUAUUCGGAACCACAGUCAGGAGGACCGGCUUGUUUUCCCUUCUUCUCCAUACUCAAGAUAACACCAUAAUGAGAGAGCUGGCUGCAAAAUCCUUUACAAGAGAUCACGGUCAUCACAGUCAGAGAUAUGUCAAAGCACAGGCAGUGCAGGCUGGGUGGAAAUGUGGUUUGGAAAUUCAGAAGGAGUUUACCACUUUGAUAACAGAUGCAUUGUGUCAUUUCUUCUGGUGGUCAUCUUGACAUCGAAGCAUUAACCUUGGAUUUUGCUAUUUCUUUCUCAUUUUAAUUCCCUUCUAUUUGGUUUUAUUAUUAAUCCUGAGAAGCCUUUUUUUUUUUCCAAAAAACACAAAUAUUUGGUAUUGAUCUUUUUACCAGGGAGAACAGAAGAGCAUGGCCAUGUUACCUGAGAGUUAUUAAUGCUAUUGCAGCACAGGAUGAACAACUGAGGCUUCAUUUGUGCAGGGAGAGAAUUCAGUCUUCUUCAAAGCUGAUCUCUCUCUCUCUCUCUCUCUCUCUCUCUCUCUCUGUGUGUGUGUGUGUGUGUGUGUGUGUGUGUGUGUGUGUAUCUGCCUGAAAGCUAAUACCAGCAUCUCAUUUUAUCUGUAAUUGAAACAUGAAGUGAUGGACUAAUAGUAUUAGUCUAUCACCUGUAGACAAAAAGAGAGUCUUCAGUGAUCAGAAAUCAACUUAAUAUACCCUAAGUACUUUUAACAUCUUACACCACUUAAACCACACAGACACACGCAUGGGGUGAGUGUAAAAAAAAACAGACACAUCACAGAAGACAAUUAGCAAUUUUAUCAGAAGUCUUAAAAUAUAUUUACACUAUUAAUUCAUAUUUCACUGCUAAGAAUAUAUCCUAAGGAAAUAAUUUCAAUGCUGCAGUUAACUAUUGCUUCUGCCUGCCCCAGAAACUGUUCCUUCUGCUACUGGCGCCUCGAUUCCCUUUGGGAAUGCCUCUCUUGCCCACUCUCCAUCCAUGUGUUUAGGUGGGGCCAAUUGGCCUUCCUCUGUUCAGAGAGCAGCCCCAGUGUCAGGUCUAAGGAAUUAGUGAAUUUCAUCAUUUUGCAUUGUAAUCUGUUCAAAGCUGAGAAUAAGAAUCAGUUAAAUCCUAGCCAGGGAUGUCCCAGAACGUUAAUAGAACUGUGGAAAUAAGGUCUCUUUUUAAUUACAUGUAUUGCUGGAAGGAUAUGAGCUUGGAAAGGUAGGGUACCACCACAUGGAGAGAACCUAGCUAAAAAUUUAUCUGUCACAGAAUAUAGUAGCGCUGAGCAUGUGAACCUAGGAUGGACUCCUGGCCUCUCUCACCGUCAACUAGAAUCUUGGCUUGAGGAAGACAGACCUUCUAUGUGCAUCACUGUGUCUCUGCUACCAAGAAUGUCACUUGGGAGAUGCUCAUAAAUGUCUGUGGGAUAAAGACUUUGGGGAACAAAAUCCUGAUGAGGCCCCUUGAGUACCUCAACGAAGCCAUUUCUUAAGCCAACGUACUCCUUUCCAGUUAUGACAUUUAACACAUUCUUGUUGUGUGGGUGUGUUUGUUUUCUAGCUUAAGCCAGCUUGAAUUGGGUUCAUAACAAAUAAACAUUUCAAAUAC